GCCUUCUUAGCUCAGUUGGUAGAGCGUUGGUCUCAUAAUUCAUUAUGAUCCAGAAUCAUUCUGGGAUAUCCAAAGGUCGACAGUUCGAGCCUGCCAGAGGGCA